AACCCCGGCGCGCCGAGGGGGACGGGAGCGGCGCCCGCCCGCCGGGGAUGACACGAAGGCCAGAUUUGGAAGCGAAACCGCCGGGCGAUGAGGGGUUGUGCAAUACUCCGUUUCUGUCCCUGGCCUUUUAAGCAGUUAAGGGCUCCUCCUGGCACCGUUUGAGCAACUUGCAGCAGAAAGCUGCGUGGUGAGGACAACUUCUCCUUGCAGUGAUUUAUUAAGAACAAGCACGGGCGGGACGGGGUCCAGCCCAGCCGAAGACACCCACUACACCCGGCCCCGCCCACUCCACAGCCGCCAGCAGUUCCGUGCAAGCUCGGAGGAGAACCCGGGACCCGGAGCUGGGCCGAGACAGCAGUGAGCCUUUGUAUGAACUGGAAGGAAACAAUCUCCUGGGGAGACAGACUGCUAAGACCAGACCUUGGACAGUAGAAGGUACAAGAGAAGGUAGCUUUAUCCAAAGAAGACGCCCCUUCCUCAAAGUGGAUGAAGCUUAUACAUCUGCCACUACCUUUUUCACAGCCUGGAAAAAGAGUACAGAAGAAAGCAUACAUACCAGAAGUCUAAAUAUUUAAAAAUUUCAGGUCAAUCUAACUAUUAAAUAAAAUUUA